AGAAAGGGACAGCAAGGAGCACAAAGGUAAAGUAGAAAAGGGAGCAGAAAGGGGCAGCAAGGAGCACAAAGAUAAAGUAGAAAAGGGAGCAGAAAGGGGCAGCAAGGAGCACAAAGUUAAAGUAGAAAAGGGAGCAGAAAGGGUCUGCAAGGAGCAGAAAGGGAUCAGAAUGAGAAAGGAGCAGAAGGGCGCAAAAUAAGCAGAAAGUAGCAGAAAGGUAAAAGAGCAGAAGGGGCCAAGGAU